GAGGCAGCAGUGGGGAAUAUUGCACAAUGGGCGCAAGCCUGAUGCAGCGACGCCGCGUGGGGGAUGACGGCCUUCGGGUUGUAAACUCCUUUCGCUAGGGACGAAGCGCAAGUGACGGUACCUAGAGAAGAAGCACCGGCUAACUACGUGCCAGCAGCCGCGGUAAUACGUAGGGUGCGAGCGUUGUCCGGAAUUACUGGGCGUAAAGAGCUCGUAGGUGGUUUGUCGCGUCGUUUGUGUAAGCCCGCAGCUUAACUGCGGGACUGCAGGCGAUACGGGCAUAACUUGAGUGCUGUAGGGGAGACUGGAAUUCCUGGUGUAGCGGUGGAAUGCGCAGAUAUCAGGAGGAACACCGAUGGCGAAGGCAGGUCUCUGGGCAGUAACUGACGCUGAGGAGCGAAAGCAUGGGGAGCGAACAGGAUUAGAUACCCUGGUAGUCCAUGCCGUAAACGGUGGGCGCUAGGUGUGAGUCCCUUCCACGGGGUUCGUGCCGUAGCUAACGCAUUAAGCGCCCCGCCUGGGGAGUACGGCCGCAAGGCUAAAACUCAAAGGAAUUGACGGGGGCCCGCACAAGCGGCGGAGCAUGUGGAUUAAUUCGAUGCAACGCGAAGAACCUUACCUGGGCUUGACAUACACCAGA
rnacentral:rRNA from 1 species